UACGGAGGGUGCAAGCGUUAAUCGGAAUUACUGGGCGUAAAGCGCACGCAGGCGGUUAAUUAAGUUGGAUGUGAAAUCCCCGGGCUUAACCUGGGAACAGCAUUCAAGACUGGUUAGCUAGAGUCUCGUAGAGGGGGGUAGAAUUCCACGUGUAGCGGUGGAAUGCGCAGAUAUCAGGAGGAACACCAAUAGCGAAGGCAGCUCGCUGGGACGUUACUGACACUGAGGCGCGAAAGCGUGGGGAGCAAACAGG
rnacentral:rRNA from 1 species